rnacentral:rRNA from 1 species
AUUGAACGCUGGCGGCAGGCCUAACACAUGCAAGUCGAGCGGAUGAAGGGAGCUUGCUCCUGGAUUCAGCGGCGGACGGGUGAGUAAUUCCUAGGAAUCUGCCUUGUAGUUGGGGAUAACGUCCGUAAACGGGCGCUAAUACCGCAUCCGUCCUGAUGGAGAAAGUGGUGGAUCUUCGGACCUCACGCUUUCAGAUGAGCCUAGGUCGGAUUAGCUAGUUGGUGGGGUCAAGUCCUACCAAGGCGACGGUCCGUAACUGGUCUGAGAGGAUGAUCAGUCACACUGGAACUGAGACACGGUCCAGACUCCUACGGGAGGCAGCAGUGGGGAAUAUUGGAAUAUGGGCGAAAGCCAGAUACAGCCAUGCCGCGUGUGAAGAAGGUCUUCGGAUUGUAAAGCUCUUUAAGUUGGGAGGAAGGGCAGUAAGUUAAUAUAUUGCUGUUUUGACGUUACCAACAGAAUAAGCCCCGGCUAACUUCGUG